UACGUAGGGGGCAAGCGUUGUCCGGAAUUACUGGGCGUAAAGGGCGUGUAGGCGGCGGCACAAGUCAGAUGUGAAAUCCCAGGGCUUAACUCUGGAGCUGCAUCUGAAACUGUUUCUCUUGAGUAUCGGAGAGGAAAGUGGAAUUCCAAGUGUAGCGGUGAAAUGCGUAGAGAUUUGGAGGAACACCAGUGGCGAAGGCGGCUUUCUGGACGAUAACUGACGCUGAGGCACGAAAGCGUGGGGAGCAAACAGG
rnacentral:rRNA from 1 species